rnacentral:lncRNA from 1 species
AAGAGGAGAGGAGAGGAGAGGAAAGGAGAGGCGGCGGUGGCAGACUAGGCAUCAGUUGACUGUGACUUUUCCGACCAUUCCUGCUCCCUGGUGCGGCGAGCAGUAGAAGGUGUAGGUGCCCUUCUCGUUCAAGGUCACCGAGUAGGUCUCCCCGGGGGCGUUGAGUAGGUCCUCCUCGCUCAUGGAGAUGGCCGCGGCGUCGACGCCCUUGGGGAUCUCGUCCUCGUCGAAGAUGACGUUGUGGGGGAAGGCCUGGUUGUUCUUGAACACGAUCGCCUCCCCGGCGGCCACGCUGAACUCGCCUGGCACGAAGGCCAGCGACCCGUCGUUGCCCCCCAGCAGCACCUCGAGGGCCAGCGCGUUGCCCGUCGCGAGCAGCGCGCUGGCGGCCGCGGCCGCGGCCACGGCCGCCACUUUCACCUCCUUGAGGGAGGCCCUCGCGGACACGCCGGCCACCUUCGCCCUGGGGCUCGCCACGGCAACGAUGGCGCCGGACCUUGCGGCGGUUGCCUUGAGACCGGUGAAGGAGGGGAUGGUGACUGCUGUGGUGGUCAUGCUGGCCAUUGCUCACGCUGUUACCGU